UACGGGGGGGGUAAGCGUUGUUCGGAGUUACUGGGCGUAAAGAGUGCGUAGGCGGUCCUGUAAGUUUGGUGUGAAAUCUCCCGGCUCAACUGGGAGGUGCGCCGAAGACUGCAGGGCUUGAGUAUGGGAGAGGUAAGCGGAAUUCCUGGUGGUAGCGGUGAAAUGCGUAGAUAUCAGGAGGAACACCUGUGGUGUAGACAGCUUACUGGACCAUAACUGACGCUGAGGCACGGAAGCGU
rnacentral:rRNA from 1 species